rnacentral:rRNA from 1 species
AGUGAACGCUGGCGGUAGGCCUAACACAUGCAAGUCGAACGGCAGCACAGUAAGAGCUUGCUCUUACGGGUGGCGAGUGGCGGACGGGUGAGGAAUACAUCGGAAUCUACUUUUUCGUGGGGGAUAACGUAGGGAAACUUACGCUAAUACCGCAUACGGCCUACGGGUGAAAGCAGGGGAUCUUCGGACCUUGCGCGACUGAAUGAGCCGAUGUCGGAUUAGCUAGUUGGCGGGGUAAAGGCCCACCAAGGCGACGAUCCGUAGCUGGUCUGAGCAGAUGAUCAGCCACACUGGAACUGAGACACGGUCCAGACUCCUAAGGGAGGCAGCAGUGGGGAAUAUUGGACAAUGGGCGCAAGCCUGAUCCAGCCAUACCGCGUGAGUGAAGAAGGCCUUCGGGUUGUAAAGCCCUUUUGUUGGGAAAGAAAAGCAGCAGGUUAAUACCCCGCUGUUCUGACGGUACCCAAAGAAUAAGCACCGGCUAACUUCGUG